CAAUAAAAGAUCAAAACAAACACACACCUAACCUAAAUCACGAUCUCAGCUACACACCCACCCACCAACACAAAGCAACACACACACACAUCACGAUCUACUCCUGCUAGGAACUGCGGCGACUGCUCCCGCUCUACUCCGGCGACGACAACUUGGGUUGAAAAUUAUUCUUCUGCUCCUAAUUUAGUAUCUUUGCGCUACCAGCACAUCUGAAUCUAGAUUCGGUGACAAUUUAUCUCUUUCACUUUAAUUUAGGCCAAACAAAGUAUAUUCGCUAUUGGAAUAACGAAGAAUACCAAUUGCUAAGAGACAAAGGAAAGAAAGCCCGGGCAUCAUCCGGGGGUGGUUCCCUACAUAUUGUGGGUGUCAAAAGUAUAAUUGUUGUGGAGAAAAAAAUGAAAAAAUAAAAGAGUAGGAGCAUACCACAGGGUGAGCAAUUCGAGGAGACUCAUCUAAAAAAAAAUCCGACUGAUGAAGAUGUCUGGGUUGAACCUCGUGCAAAAGCUGCCUAUGGAGAGAGGGCGCAGAGGAGGAGGAGGAAACAUUAUCACAAAUCAGGAUGUUGGAGGUGCAGUUCAGCUCUUUAAUUCAGACUGCAGGGAUUAUUCCUUCGUAUCCUGGUGAUGCAGUUUGGGAUGCAAAAGGUCUACGCCCCCUGGAUGAUAUCAGCACAGAUGAGGAUAUGGAAGACGAGGACAAAUUCGAUGAAGAUGAGUUUUAGUUUUUUGACUUUUGUAUGUGUUGUACUUUGAAUUUAGACAUUUUGUUGUAGUUUGUACACUUUGAAACUAUUGUAGUUUUUACACUUUCACUUUGUUUGACAUUUUGUAUGUGUUGUCCACUUUUGAAAGUAUUUACAUUUGGUUUGUUGUUGUUGUUGUUGUUCAUGUUGGACCAUUUAUUGAUUUUUCUU